rnacentral:rRNA from 1 species
AUGAAAUUGAAAUUAUUCUAACUUAUAGAAAGCUCUACCCGUCUUUUCUAAAUUUAGUAGUUUUAGUUGCAACAACAAUUACAUAUGUUCGUCUCUAACCUGUCACGGCGCCCUCUUGAACGAUGCUAUAAAUUACUAUCUUACUGAAAAAAUAGACGGGUGCGGCAACGCGCGCCGCCAUGAUCUAGUAUCAUUGCAAGACAGCACACUCUACAUUGACAGUGGGAUCCUCACCUUGGCGGGGGAUGAGUGGCCCCAGUCCGACCGUACCAUCUACAUGAAUUUGUCACUCCCCCUCAACGACACCAUAUAUAGGGUAGCAGACGGGAAUGAGAUCAUAGUUAUGGGGUGCGGAAUCUAUUUCCUUGUUCAAUGGCCUUCUCCUGGCAGUUGGCCUUCUCCCCAUGAUGAAUCCGCCAGCAGCUCCUGUUCUUCGAAAUGCAUGCCGGGUCAUCCCGUGAUAGCAACUGAUGGCACAUGUUCUGACUUGCCAUCGAUAGCAAAUGGUUGUUGCACUACAGGUACCAUCUUUUCUAACUCAAAUAAGUUUCCCUUCGAGUACACCGUGGAUAAAGAGAAGUUGCCGGUCAACUCAAGCCUUGCAUUGGUGGAGAGAAAAUGGUGGAGCGAGAAGAAGAAUGCCAUGAUGCUGCAGAAGGCGGCAUCAUCUGACACCACCCUUGGUGCCUCCAAAGGCGUACUACACCCCAUACCAGGGGUACCAAUUAGAACGGCUAUCAGUUGGCUGUUCGGUAACUUGUCGUGUGCUGAGGCUAGCAAUUCAAGUGAAUUUGGGUGCCUCAGCGACAACAGUAAGUGCCUCGAGUACCCUAAAUCAGAUGAUUCAACAGGAGGCCACACAUGCCAGUGUUGGCAUGGCUACCAAGGCAACCCUUAUGUGCAACAUGGAUGCCAAGAUAUUGACGAGUGUACAAGUCAAGGCGAGUACUCCUGCUUUGGCCAGUGCAUCAAUCUGAUAGGGUCAUAUACAUGUACCUGUCCGGAUGGCACCACUGGUAACCCCCGAAAACAAAAUGGAUGGUCUUCAACCAAAUCAAAAAAUCAGGUACCUGUCCGGAUGGCACCACUGGUAACCCCCCAAAACAAAAUGGAUGUUCUUCAACCGAAUCAGACAAAUCAAAAAAUUCAGGAUUUUCCGUUGCGGUUGGAAUAGGCAGUGGUGUAGGCAUUCUUCUAAUUAUUCUCAGUGUUAAGACGAAAGCUCAUAGUUGCGAAAGCAAGGAAGUCAAGAGAUUUUUUCUUCAGAAAGAACAGAGGAUUGUUGUUACAGCGGCUUGUAGACAAGGAUAUCGCCGAAAGGAUGAUUUUCAGCUUAGAAGAGCUUGAGAAGGCAACAGAUAAGUUUGCCGAGGCUCGAAAACUUGGAGGUGGAGGCCACGGCACUGUCUACAAGGGGAUUUUAUCUGACAAACAUGUUGUUGCCAUCAAAAAGUCAAAAGUUAUAAUUCAGAGAGAGAUAGAUGAUUUCAUCAAUGAGGUUGCCAUCCUUUCUCAAGUCAACCACAGGAAUGUAGUGAAGCUUUUGGGAUGUUGUCUCGAGACAGAAGUUCCAUUGCUGGUCUACGAGUUCAUUUCAAAUGGAACUCUUUCUGAUCAUCUUCAUGUCAGCACUCCACUAUCAGUGCCAUGGAAAGAUCGGCUAAGAAUAGCACUUGAAACCUCGAGAUGCCUUGCUUAUCUGCACUCGGCUGCUUCAGUAUCAAUAGUACAUAGAGAUAUCAAGUCUGCCAAUGUACUACUUGACGACCACCUCACAGCAAAAGUAUCAGAUUUUGGAGCUUCGCGAGGCAUCCCCAUUGAUCAAACUGGAGUUACAACUGCAGUGCAAGGAACUUUUGGAUAUUUGGAUCCAGAGUACUACCACACACGGCGCCUCACCGAGAAAAGUGAUGUGUAUAGCUUUGGGGUCAUGCUUGUGGAGCUAUUAACAAGGAAGAAACCAUGUGUCCACCUGUCAACACCAGGAGGCAGUCUAAUUGCUGAAUUCAUCUUGCAAGUGAACCAAGACAAACUCUUCGAGAUGCUAGACCAGCAAGUCAACGAGGAAGGGGCUGAAGAAGCCGACGGAGUUGCAGCAGUAGCAGUGAGGUGCUUAAGCUUAAAGGGUGAAGAUAGGCCAACAAUGAGGCAAGUUGAGACAAAACUUGAAGUGAUGCAAAGCGUGGAAAACAAUACAGCAAUGGAACAGAACAAUGCCAAUGCUGAUGAUGACAACUUCAGUAGGCAAUACAGUAUGGAGGAAGAAGGCAUGUCAUCUAUGGUGCAGCCAAGGGAGAAUGAGCAAAUGCGCGUCAUUUUCCAGGACACUACCGUAAUAUAUUGA